GACGAACGCUGGCGGCGUGCUUAACACAUGCAAGUCGAACGGAAAGGCCCUGCUUUUGUGGGGUGCUCGAGUGGCGAACGGGUGAGUAACACGUGAGUAACCUGACCUUGACUUUGGGAUAACUUCAGGAAACUGGGGCUAAUACCGGAUAGGAGCUCCUGCUGCAUGGUGGGGGUUGGAAAGUUUCGGCGGUUGGGGAUGGACUCGCGGCUUAUCAGCUUGUUGGUGGGGUAGUGGCUUACCAAGGCUUUGACGGGUAGCCGGCCUGAGAGGGUGACCGGCCACAUUGGGACUGAGAUACGGCCCAGACUGCUACGGGAGGCAGCAGUGGGGAAUAUUGCACAAUGGGCGGAAGCCUGAUGCAGCAACGCCGCGUGCGUGAUGACGGCCUUCGGGUUGUAAACCGCUUUCGCCUGUGACGAAGCGUGAGUGACGGUAAUGGGUAAAGAAGCACCGGCUAACUACGUG
rnacentral:rRNA from 1 species